GACGAACGCUGGCGGCGUGCUUAACACAUGCAAGUCGAACGGAAAGGCCCUGCUUUUGUGGGGUGCUCGAGUGGCGAACGGGUGAGUAACACGUGAGUAACCUGCCCUUGACUUUGGGAUAACUUCAGGAAACUGGGGCUAAUACCGGAUAGGAGCUCCUGCUGCAUGGUGGGGGUUGGAAAGUUUCGGCGGUUGGGGAUGGACUCGCGGCUUAUCAGCUUGUUGGUGGGGUAGUGGCUUACCAAGGCUUUGACGGGUAGCCGGCCUGGGAGGGUGACCGGCCACAUUGGGACUGAGGUACGGCCCAGACGCCUACGGGAGGCAGCAGUGGGGAAUAUUGCACAAUGGGCGGAAGCCUGAGGCAGCAACGCCGCGUGCGGGAUGACGGCCUUCGGGUUGUAAACCGCUUUCGCCUGUGACGAAGCGUGAGUGACGGUAAUGGGUAAAGAAGCACCGGCUAACUACGUG
rnacentral:rRNA from 1 species